rnacentral:snRNA from 1 species
AUCCUUAUCUGGCAUAAGGGUUACUGUGAUCAUGAAGGUAGUUUCUGCAGAGUGAAGUUUGAACAUUGCAUUAAUGAUUGAGUUGAUCUCCGCGAUUAUUCCUAAUGCGAAUAACUGGUGCGUGUAAUUUGUAGAUAGUUUGGGAAAUAAUUAUAUGCACAAA